AUAACAUUUAACAUUUAAAGACAGCAAAUUGGCAACACAGUGGUAUCGUGCAGUGGUACGUUACAAGCUGGGUAGGUCACAGGCUGUUAAUGUUGGGCCUGCUGUUACGAGGUCGUGAGUCCCCGGGCAUGUACUUUUUCAGCCGAUGCCCUCUUUAUGGAAGCGGUGUGUGCUCGUCGCUGGGUCUCUGCUUCCUGUUGCUGUGCGGGUGUCGAGGCGAGGGUCCCUCCAGCCCCGGGACGGUAUGCAGGCCUGCAUCCGUAGGCCACAAACUCGGCUACCACUAGGGCCCGGGUUUUCUCC